rnacentral:rRNA from 1 species
CCUACGGGAGGCAGCAGUGAGGAAUAUCGGUCAAUGGACGAGAGUCUGAACCAGCCAAGUAGCGUGAAGGAUGACUGCCCUAUGGGUUGUAAACUUCUUUUAUAUGGGAAUAAAAUGUUCCACGUGUGGGAUUUUGUAUGUACCAUAUGAAUAAGGAUCGGCUAACUCCGUGCCAGCAGCCGCGGUAAUACGGAGGAUCCGAGCGUUAUCCGGAUUUAUUGGGUUUAAAGGGAGCGUAGGUGGAUUGUUAAGUCAGUUGUGAAAGUUUGCGGCUCAACCGUAAAAUUGCAGUUGAAACUGGCAGUCUUGAGUACAGUAGAGGUGGGCGGAAUUCGUGGUGUAGCGGUGAAAUGCUUGGAUAUCACGAAGAACUCCGAUUGCGAAGGCAGUUCACUGGACUGCAACUGACACUGAGGCUCGAAAGUGUGGGUAUCAAACAGGAUUAGAUACCCCAGUAGUC